rnacentral:snoRNA from 1 species
CCUAUUGAUGAUGACGAGCUCGUGAGUUAUAUCAUCACGGGCCUUGAUCUAGAAUAUAAUCCAGUUGUCUCUGCGGUACUUGCUCGUGUUGAACCGAUCACGGUCAACGAAUUGUACACGCAGCUGAUAAAUUUUGAGC